rnacentral:rRNA from 1 species
AUGUGUGGCACUGUAGGUUUUCUUCUUGUUGCCGGCCUCUUGUGCGAACAUACGUUGUCUGAACAGGUGGAGAUGCUGAAGAGAAGAAGACAUGAAGAAGUCGAGAAGAAAGAUGAAGCUGAACAAAGGGCCAAGGAUUGUCAAGUGGUUUCACAGGCCUGGCUGGAACUGGAUUUUCAUUCUUCAGGCUCAUUGGUUCCAUUUUUUGGCUCUACAGAAACCUCAGAUGCUCCCUAUUUUGGGCUAUACAGUGUACUCCGCGCAUGGCAUUUUCUCGUGCAUAUGCAACAACAUUUCCGAAAGAAAAUUCCUUGGCUGAUCAACAACAUUCCAUUGAUCCUUGGUUGCCACUGGCAUUAG